rnacentral:rRNA from 1 species
GACGAACGCUGGCGGCGUGCCUAAUACGUGCAAGUUGAGCGCUGAAGGUUGGUACUUGUACCAACUGGAUGAGCAGCGAACGGGUGAGUAACGCGUGGGGAAUCUGCCUUUGAGCGGGGGACAACAUUUGGAAACGAAUGCUAAUACCGCAUAAAAACUUUAAACACAAGUUUUAAGUUUGAAAGAUGCAAUUGCAUCACUCAAAGAUGAUCCCGCGUUGUAUUAGCUAGUUGGUGAGGUAAAGGCUCACCAAGGCGAUGAUACAUAGCCGACCUGAGAGGGUGAUCGGCCACAUUGGGACUGAGACACGGCCCAAACUCCUACGGGAGGCAGCAGUAGGGAAUCUUCGGCAAUGGACGAAAGUCUGACCGAGCAACGCCGCGUGAGUGAAGAAGGUUUUCGGAUCGUAAAACUCUGUUGGUAGAGAAGAACGUUGGUGAGAGUGGAAAGCUCAUCAAGUGACGGUAACUACCCAGAAAGGGACGGCUAACUACG